rnacentral:misc_RNA from 1 species
AAGAAUUUCAGAACAGGCCAGAAGAGGGUCUGAAAAAAUUGGACGGUUGCAGUUGGAGGUGCAAAAACUGCAAUUUCUUUUGCUGAAACUUGAUGAUGCAAAUAAAAGCAGAGGAAAAACCAAAAUCAUAGAACGAAAAACAAGAGUUCUUCUGCGUGAUUAUCUGUAUGGUGGGACAAGAACUAGCCAGAAGAGAAAGAAAGGGCAUUUCUGUGCAUGUAUGCAA